CCUACGGGGGGCAGCAGUGGGGGAUAUUGCACAAUGGGGGAAACCCUGAUGCAGCGACGCCGCGUGUGGGAAGACGGUCUUCUGGAUUGUAAACCACUGUCCCCAGGGACGAAAAUGACGGUACCUGGGGAGGAAGCUCCGGCUAACUACGUGCCAGCAGCCGCGGUAAUACGUAGGGAGCAAGCGUUGUUCGGAAUAACUGGGCGUAAAGGAUGCGUAGGCGGUUAAACAAGUUAUAUGUUAAAUAUAUAGGCUUAACCUGUAGAAAGCAUAUAAAACUGUUUAACUAGAGUGCAGGAGAGGUA
rnacentral:rRNA from 1 species